GUGGUUGUAGCUCAGUUGGUUAGAGCAUCGGUUUGUGGUACCGAGGGUCGUGGGUUCGAGUCCCAUCUUCCACC
rfam:Roseivirga ehrenbergii strain KMM 6017 RE_R1_contig_1, whole genome shotgun sequence.